rnacentral:lncRNA from 1 species
UGAAGGGAGAGGAGCUGAUACACGGAGUUUCUGACAGCCCGGCCUCCUGGAGGGAUACAUCCACCCACGAAUGAGCUAAGCCAGGAAGCAGAGUUACAGGGAAUGGGAGCUAUAACCCAGAGGGAAUGUGAAGAGACUCUCCAGCAAGCCCAUGAGGACACAACCAGCAAGAGCCAGCAAGAACCAAACAGAAACCAUGGAGGGUUCCAAAGGAAAUGCCAUUAGAAGGCUUGUGUCACAGUGCAGUGCUUGCCUAAGAAGUAUCCCUGGAAGAUUAAAAAUAGGCAAGCAGUAACGUAAUGGACAGAGAAGCCAGGUCAGGUAAAACCAA